UGCGGACGGGUGAUUAACGCGUAGGUAUCUGACACUUUGAGGGGGAUAACAUUUGGAAACGACUGUUAAUACCGCAUAAUAUCUGUGGAUUAAAGGUGGCUUUCGGGCUGUCGAAGAUGGAUGAGCCUGCGUUGGAUUAGCUAGUUGGUGGGGUAAGGGCCCACCAAGGCUACGAUACAUAGCUGAUUUGAGAGGAUGAUCAGCCACAUUGGGACUGAGACACGGCCCAAACUCCUACGGGAGGCAGCAG
rnacentral:rRNA from 1 species